UGCGCCAGAAAGAGAAAGCCUUCGCCAAGAUCGUCAAGAUCGGCCGUACCCAUACCCAGGACGCGACACCGCUGACGCUUGGCCAGGAGUUCUCCGGUUACGCAUCGCAGGUCGAGAGCGGCAUCGCGCGGGUGCGCGAAGCGACGAAAAGUCUCUACCCGCUGGCGCAGGGCGGAACGGCGGUGGGCACCGGCCUCAAUUCCAAGCCGCGGUUUGCCAAGCUGUUCGCCAAACAGGUCACCUCGCUCACCAAGUUGCCGUUCACUAGCGCACAGAACAAGU
rnacentral:misc_RNA from 1 species